UGUGGAAUUUCUGGGUUAUAUGGUAACUCUAUAUUUAACAUUUUGAGGAAUGCCAAACUAUUUUUCAAAGCUGCUGGACCAUUUUACAUUCCCACCAGCAU
rnacentral:pre_miRNA from 1 species